AAAACUUUCAACAACGGAUCUCUUGGUUCUGGCAUCGAUGAAGAACGCAGCGAAAUGCGAUAAGUAAUGUGAAUUGCAGAAUUCAGUGAAUCAUCGAAUCUUUGAACGCACAUUGCGCCCUCUGGUAUUCCGGAGGGCAUGCCUGUUCGAGCGUCA
rnacentral:rRNA from 1 species